AAAAAAAGUGCUCUUCUUCUUUUGAUCACCGAGAAAUUCCUAGAGCUAGUGGCGCACAGUUCAAAUCACGGUGUAUAACAGGUCAGAGCACAGAAACGCUCUAUAAACACAUUGUUUCUAUAGAAGUGUUUCUAGUUAUAAUGUCAACUCAAACUUACGUGACAGAUUCUCUUUCAGUUAUAACGUCAACUCAAACUUACGUGACAGAUUCUCUUUCAGUUAUAAC
rnacentral:misc_RNA from 1 species